GACUUGGUCAAAGCUCCACAGU
rnacentral:miRNA from 1 species